CGGUGUUUAACUGGCGUGAUGUGGGACGUCCUACCGGUGGGCUUAGCCUCGCGAGGGGCGGCCCAACUAAUAUCCCGUCGCGGUGCUCUUUACUGAGUGUCGAGUCGGGCCGGUACGUUUACUUUGAACAAAUUAGAGUGCUUAAAGCAGGCUAUCCUCGCCUGAAUACUGCGUGCAUGGAAUAAUGGAAUAGGACCUCGGUUCUAUUUUGUUGGUUUUCGGAACCCCGAGGUAAUGAUUAAUAGGGACAGAUGGGGGCAUUCGUAUUGCGACGUUAGAGGUGAAAUUCUUGGAUCGUCGCAAGACGGACAGAAGCGAAAGCAUUUGCCAAAAAUGUUUUCAUUAAUCAAGAACGAAAGUUAGAGGUUCGAAGGCGAUCAGAUACCGCCCUAGUUCUAACCAUAAACGAUGCCAGCUAGCGAUCCGCCGAAGUUCCUCCGAUGACUCGGCGGGCAGCUUCCGGGAAACCAAAGCUUUUGGGUUCCGGGGGAAGUAUGGUUGCAAAGCUGAAACUUAAAGGAAUUGACGGAAGGGCACCACCAGGAGUGGAGCCUGCGGCUUAAUUUGACUCAACACGGGAAACCUCACCAGGCCCAGACACCGGAAGGAUUGACAGAUUGAUAGCUCUUUCUUGAUUCGGUGGGUGGUGGUGCAUGGCCCGUUCUUAGUUGGUGGAGCGAUUUGUCUGGUUAAUUCCGAUAACGAACGGGACUCUAGCCUGCUAAAUAGGCGUACCUUAUGGUAUCGCGAAGGCCCCCGGCUUCGGCCGGUGGGUUUUUACUACCAACGUACAAACAAAUCUUCUUAGAGGGACAGGCGG
rnacentral:rRNA from 1 species